GACAAGCAGAAACAUUUAGACAGAAACGUCUCUGGGUGAAGAGGAAGAAUGAAAAAGCACUGAAGGCAUGAACUGUUGGCACCCAUUUUAGUCUAGUAAUCAGACUGGAAUUAUGAGGAAAUGUAGACACCUGGUGUUAGAGGAAACAGUGUUUCAUGACAGAUACCGGAGAUCCUUGGAUGAACCCUGGUUACUGAUUAACAUCCAUGUAGAUGACUUACGGUUUUAUAUAUACAUAAACUGUCUUUUACAGAGAGCAUUCUGCUGUAAGGAAAGCCAACUACCUGAGGAUAACAUGAGAACUAAGAAACCAUGACCAUACCCUUCCUGAGGACUCGCUUCUUGGCUCUGAUGUCUGUCUCGAGCUCAGCUGCUCUAAUGUAGAUGCGGACAGACUGCGGUUUCUAGCCACCUGCAGCUUGCCUGUCACCUCCUCCAGCCUGGCAGAAGCAAUCCACGCAGGUGGAUGGUGGGGGUUGGUCUCUCUCACUGACUUCAGCAGCAGCCGAGCCUUUUUAAUGUCACUGGACACACAGCCAAAAAGUGGGAAUCAUGGAGUUGAGAUCUGUAAGGUAACCCUUGGGAUCAACAACAGUCUGUCCACUGACUGAAUCAGAAACCUGGAAGAAACCUCAUCAUAGUUGGUGUCGUUCAGGUCUUCAUCAUCAUCAUCCUGAUUCUUUUUCAUCUGGUCCCCAACCGUCCUUUUCCCCGG